GACGGACGCUGGCGGCGUGCUUAACACAUGCAAGUCGAACGAUGAAGCCCUUUCGGGGGUGGAUUAGUGGCGAACGGGUGAGUAACACGUGGGUAACCUGCCCUGUACCCUGGGAUAAGCCUUGGAAACGAGGUCUAAUACCGGAUAUGACCUGCUCUCGCAGUGGGGGUGGGUGGAAAGUUUUGGCGGUGCAGGAUGGACCCGCGGCCCAUCAGCUUGUUGGUGGGGUGAUGGCCUACCAAGGCGACGACGGGUAGCCGGCCUGAGAGGGCGACCGGCCACACUGGGACUGAGACACGGCCCAGACUCCUACGGGAGGCAGCAGUGGGGAAUAUUGCACAAUGGGCGAAAGCCUGAUGCAGCGACGCCGCGUGAGGGAUGACGGCC
rnacentral:rRNA from 1 species